GACGAACGCUGGCGGCGUGCUUAACACAUGCAAGUCGAACGGAAAGGCCCUGCUUUUGUGGGGUGCUCGAGUGGCGAACGGGUGAGUAACACGUGAGUAACCUGCCCUUGACUUUGGGAUAACUUCAGGAAACUGGGGCUAAUACCGGAUAGGAGCUCCUGCUGCAUGGUGGGGGUUGGAAAGUUUCGGCGGUUGGGGAUGGACUCGCGGCUUAUCAGCUUGUUGGUGGGGUAGUGGCUUACCAAGGCUUUGACGGGUAGCCGGCCUGAGAGGGUGACCGGCCACAUUGGGACUGAGAUAGGGACCAGACUCCUACGGGAGGCAGCAGUCGGGAAUAUUGCACAAUGGGGGGAAGCCUGAUGCAGCAACGCCGCGUGCGGGAUGACGGCCUUCGGGUUGUAAACCGCUUUCGCCUGUGACGAAGCGUGAGUGACGGUAAUGGGUAAAGAAGCACCGGCUAACUACGUG
rnacentral:rRNA from 1 species